GCCUGGAAUAACACGAGGAAACUUGUGCUAAUACCGGAUAAGUCUUUACGGAGAAAGCUUUAUGCACCAUUGGAUGAGCCUGCACUUGAUUAGUUUGUUGGUGGGGUAAUGGCCUACCAAGACUGUGAUCAAUAGCUGAUUUGAGAGGAUGAUCAGCCACAUUGGGACUGAGACACGGCCCAAACUCCUACGGGAGGCAGCAGUGGGGAAUCUUGCACAAUGGAGGAAACUCUGAUGCAGCGAUGCCGCGUGAGUGAAGAAGGCCCUUGGGUUGUAAAGCUCUUUCGUCGGGGAAGAAAAUGACUGUACCCGAAUAAGAAGGUCCGGCUAACUUCGUGCCAGCAGCCGCGGUAAUACGAAGGGACCUAGCGUAGUUCGGAAUUACUGGGCUUAAAGAGUUCGUAGGUGGUUGAAAAAGUUAGUGGUGAAAUCCCAGAGCUUAACUCUGGAACUGCCAUUAAAACUUUUCAGCUAGAGUAUGAUAGAGGAAAGCAGAAUUUCUAGUGUAGAGGUGAAAUUCGUAGAUAUUAGAAAGAAUACCAAUUGCGAAGGCAGCUUUCUGGAUCAUUACUGACACUGAGGAACGAAAGCAUGGGUAGCGAAGAGGAUUAGAUACCCUCGUAGUCCAUGCCGUAAACGAUGUGUGUUAGACGUUGGAAAUUUAUUUUCAGUGUCGCAGCGAAAGCGAUAAACACACCGCCUGGGGAGUACGACCGCAAGGUUAAAACUCAAAUGAAUUGACGGGGACCCGCACAAGUAGUGGAGCAUGUGGUUUAAUUCGAAGAUACGCGCAGAACCUUACCAACACUUGACAUGUUCGUCGCGACUCUAAGAGAUUAGAGUUUUCGGUUCGGCCGGACGAAACACAGGUGCUGCAUGGCUGUCGUCAGCUCGUGUCGUGAGAUGUUGGGUUAAGUCCCGCAACGAGCGCAACCCUCACUUUUAGUUGCCAUCAUUAAGUUGGGCACUCUGAAAGAACUGCCAGUGAUAAGCUGGAGGAAGGUGGGGAUGACGUCAAGUCCUCAUGGCCCUUACGUGUUGGGCUACACACGUGCUACAAUGGUAUCUACAACAGGAAGCAAGACUGCGAGGUCAAGCAAAACCUUAAAAGAUACCUCAGUUCGGAUUGCACUCUGCAACUCGAGUGCAUGAAGCUGGAAUUACUAGUAAUCGUGGAUCAGCGUGCCACGGUGAAUGCGUUCCCGGGUCUUGUACACACCGCCCGUCACACCAUGGGAGUUGGUUCUACCUUAAGGCAAGGUUUCAAACCCUUGACCACGGU
rnacentral:rRNA from 1 species